rnacentral:rRNA from 1 species
UACGUAGGGGGCAAGCGUUGUCCGGAAUCAUUGGGCGUAAAGCGCGUGUAGGCGGUCCGGUAAGUCCGCUGUGAAAGUCGGGGGCUCAACCCUCGGAUGCCGGUGGAUACUGUCGGGCUUGAGUACGGAAGAGGCGAGUGGAGUUCCUGGUGUAGCGGUGAAAUGCGCAGAUAUCAGGAGGAGCACCAAUUGCGAAGGCAGCUCGCUGGGACGUUACUGACGCUGAGACGCGAAAGCGUGGGGAGCAAACAGG